rnacentral:rRNA from 1 species
CCUACGGGAGGCAGCAGUGAGGAAUAUUGGUCAAUGGGCGCGAACCUGAACCAGCCAAGUCGCGUGAGGGAAGACGGUCCUAUGGAUUGUAACCCUCUUUUGUCGGGGAGCAAAAGACGCCACGCGUGGCGUUCCGAGAGUACCCGAAGAAAGAGCAUCGGCUAACUCCGUGCCAGCAGCCGCGGUAAUACGGGGGAUGCGAGCGUUAUCCGGAUUUAUUGGGUUUAAAGGGUGCGCAGGCGGAAGAUCAAGUCAGCGGUAAAAUUGAGAGGGUCAACCUCUUCGAGCCGUUGAAACUGGUUGUCUUGAGUGAGUGAGAAGUAGGCGGAAUGCGUGGUGUAGCGGUGAAAUGCGUAGAUAUUACGCAGAACUCCGAUUGCGAAGGCAGCAUACCGGCGAUCAACUGACGCUCAUGCACGAAAGUGUGGGUAUCGAACAGGAUUAGAUACCCCUGUAGUC